rnacentral:rRNA from 1 species
UACGGGGGGGGGGCAAGCGUUGUUCGGAAUUACUGGGCGUAAAGGGCUCGUAGGCGGCCAACUAAGUCAGACGUGAAAUCCCUCGGCUUAACCGGGGAACUGCGUCUGAUACUGGAUGGCUUGAGGUUGGGAGAGGGAUGCGGAAUUCCAGGUGUAGCGGUGAAAUGCGUAGAUAUCUGGAGGAACACCGGUGGCGAAGGCGGCAUCCUGGACCGACACUGACGCUGAGGAGCGAAAGCCAGGGGAGCAAACGGG